rnacentral:rRNA from 1 species
AGCGAACGCUGGCGGCAGGCUUAACACAUGCAAGUCGAGCGGGCACUUUCGGGUGUCAGCGGCGGCUGGGUGAGUAACGCGUGGGAACGUGCCCUCGGGUGCGGAAUAACUCAGUGGAACUUGAUCUAAUACCGGAUACGCCCUCUUGGGGGAAGGCCUGCUGCCGGAGGAUCGGUUCGCGUCUGAUUGGCUGGUUGGUGGGGUAUCGGGUCACCAAGGCGACGGUCAGUGGCUGGUCUGAGCGGAGGAUCAGCCACACUGGGACUGAGACACGGCCCAGACUGCUACGGGAGGCAGGAGUGGGGAAUAUUGGGGAAUGAGCGCUAGCCUGAUCCAGCCGUGCCACGGGAGUGAGGAAGGCCUUAGGGUUGUAAAGCUCUUUUAUCCGGGACGAUAAUGACGGUACCGGGGAAAUAAGCCCCGGCUAACUUCGUG